GUUGGAAUCGGAGAGUGCGGAAGAGACGCGCGAAAUCGUCAGUAGGACAGGAAAACUAGAUCGGCAUGAAGGAGUCACACGCUUAAGGAACAGUGACGGCUAACGCGCCCCCUAAGGAAGAGGAGGGAAAAUUUUAACAAUGAAAGCUGAAAUUUCGAUAAAGGUAUUACCAUAUCACUGAAUGUGUCAAAGGAACUUGUAAACUGAAUGCUUCUAUCAGAAGUAAAAUUUAAAAUCCACCAAAAUAGUGUGGGUGCCAUGGAGGAAUGACAGGCAUCCUGGCUGGGAUAAAGGAGGGAUUCUUGCCCGGAUAAUGGAUGGACUGAGUGAACCGCAAACCAAGAGAAGUUCAUUCCCCUACAUGACAGGUAGCAGUGUUCCUCAGGGUUGAACCCGAUUAGGACAGCCACAGGGUGGC